rnacentral:rRNA from 1 species
UACGUAGGGGGCGAGCGUUACCCGGAUUCACUGGGCGUAAAGCGGGUGUAGGCGGCUCGGUAAGUCGGGUGUGAAAUCCCACAGCUCAACUGUGGAAUUGCGCCCGAAACUGCUGAGCUUGGGGCCGGUAGAGGGGGACGGAACUGCCGGUGUAGGGGUGAAAUCCGUAGAUAUCGGCAGGAACGCCGGUGGGGAAGCCGGUCUCCUGGGCCGCGCCCGACGCUGAGACCCGAAAGCUAGGGGAGCAAACCGG